ACUAAUUAACCUUUCUUUUAUAAACUUUGGAAAAUAAAGGGGCUAUAAUGGACAAAACUGAAAAUGAAAUUAAUAAAAAGAAAAUUUGACUCAAAACACACACAAGGUGUGUGUUCUGGUCGAUGUUUACACAUAGCAAGAAAGGGGUUCCUUCUUUUGAACCCUAAACUCACUAUUUGAUCAAAAUCAGAGGGAAAACAAGCUAGGAAUUUGGGGCUUUUACUAAAUUCGUGAUCACCAAGACAAGGGGGUUGUAAGUUUGAUCCCGUCAAGCUAAGUGGGAGCUGGCAAGGAAUGGAUCAAACGGAUCAAGUGCGCAAGGAAAGCUCGAACGGACGCAAACCGUAAGUAAAACUUACACCCACUUGUAGUAUAUGUGUUUAUUUCAUAACGAUGAAUACAAUAAAGGAUUUGGUUUGAAUCAUGGGUUCUGACCCAAAACGAAAUGAGUCGGAACCAACAAAAAUGUUUUAAACCAUGAUUAAUGGUGAAAAAGGCAAAAUGGUAAAUAAGUCACGAAUUGGUUAAGAAUUAGUGAGUUUUUCUUAAAGUUACCUUAUAGUGUAACUAGUAAUGGAAAAUGGGUAAAAAUGGAAAUUUAGUCAAGUAUCGACUAAAGUAAAAUCAGUUUCAAAGGACACCCAUAGCGUGAGCCGAAUGAGU